rnacentral:rRNA from 1 species
UACGUAGGGUCCGAGCGUUGUCCGGAGUUACUGGGCGUAAAGCGCGCGCAGGCGGCGGUGUUGGCCCGGCGUGAAAGCCCCCGGCUCAACCGGGGAGAGUCGUCGGGGACCGCACCGCUUGAGGGCGGUAGGGGCUGGUGGAAUGCCUGGUGUAGUGGUGAAAUGCGUAGAUAUCGUGAGGAAGACCAGUGGCGAAGGCGGGUCUCUGGACAGUUCCUGACGCUGAGGCGCGAAGGCCAGGGGAGCAAACGGG